GACGAACCGAGCGAACGUUGUUCGGAAUCACUGGGCUUAAAGGGCGCGUAGGCGGGCUGUCAAGUCUGGGGUGAAAUCCCGCGGCUCAACCGUGGAACUGCCUCAGAUACUGACGGUCUCGAGGGGGAUAGGGGCGAGCGGAACUGAUGGUGGAGCGGUGAAAUGCGUUGAUAUCAUCAGGAACACCGGUGGCGAAAGCGGCUUACUGGGUCUCUUCUGACGCUGAGGUACGAAAGCUAGGGGAGCGAACGGG
rnacentral:rRNA from 1 species